UAUCAGUGUACACAAAUGGAGGGAAACAGGGAGUUGAUUGCAGAAGAGCCAGGGCCAGACGUUGGCAUAAUUUCGAUGCAGAAAUCUAACAGAAUACAAAUGCAAUCAUUGACUUUUUAGCUUAUAACGAAAUAAGCGUCGUGUUUAUUGGUUGGCUGAACGAGCGAGCACCAGACCCGAACCCCCCUUCGGCCUCCUGGAAAAACUGUGGAAAAUAGGAGCACAUUGCCGGAACUCUGGGGAGUGCACUUAUAAAUUCAAAGCCUUGGCUGGGCCACUAACUGGGUGGUAAUGACUGCUGGGUUAGAAUCAGCUGCAACUAAGAUUUACACACAAACUAAGCCUAAGGUGGCAAAAAUGCCCAGCCCAGGGAUUCAAUAAUGAUUUUUCAAUGGCAAGUUAUUAAAGCGAACUGUUUCGAAGGACAAAAGCUAUUCGAAUCGAUGGAAAAUCAGAAACCUUGACGAGCCCUGAUGAUGCCUGUAACUGUUGCAUUGUUUCCACUUCAGGUCAGCGAACAAAGGGCUGCAACACCAUCGCUCCUUGUUUGCAACAAUUUAAACAUUUGUUGUUUCCCAGGCCAGAGCGGUCUUUAGCACGUUUACAUUGAAUUAAACGCCGGAGGGAGAAGCUGGAACAGCAGAUAGCGACUGCAGCAGAAACAACAAUUUGCCGGCGAACAACAACUGCAAGUGCAGUCGAACAUGGCCAACUGAAAAUCAACACACAGACAAUGUUGCCCUGGCCAGAAGUGCGGGAACCUGGUCCAGAAACAGAUUCCAGUAACCAGUAGCCAGUAGCCAGUAACCAGUAAGCAGAAUACUGAAUCGAGUUGAGGAGAUGGAGACCCACAGGCGGAGCCGGAAAGUGAAACAAGCUCAGCUGAAGUGAAAGAAAAACAGACAACAGUCAAUCAAAACAAUGGCAACAAUGCGCUCGAGAAAAUUCUGAUAUUUCUGGUACUUUGUUCUUAUUUCGUUCAGCGAGACCCGGGCAUAUUAUUUAUUAUUAUUUUUGGGGCAUUAUAUAUCUACGUGCACUUCUCCACCGAUAUGCUAAUUGAAAUGUGAAAACGAAGAGAAUUCUCAAGCAUCAUUAUCGAGAGUAGGGAAACAAAAGAGUCUGUGCUCCAGAAAACUGAAUGAAAACGAGCCCUGGUUCUCAAUAAAUCGAAUUAUCAAGAACGGACUCUUAAUUAAAUGCAUUAACGAGGAAAAUACAAUGGUUAAUUUAU